AUUAACAAAUAAAAAGUAAAAUUUAUUAAGUGCCUGAAACCAUUAGAAUUCAAUUGCAAAUUUAAUUUAUUGAUAAUACUAUAAUGAAAGUUUUAUGGGAAGGUCACUUUUGUUAAU
rnacentral:rRNA from 1 species